GUCCACGCCGUAAACGAUGUCUACUAGCCGUUGGGGUCCUUGAGACUUUAGUGGCGCAGUUAACGCGAUAAGUAGACCGCCUGGGGAGUACGGCCGCAAGGUUAAAACUCAAAUGAAUUGACGGGGGCCCGCACAAGCGGUGGAGCAUGUGGUUUAAUUCGAUGCAACGCGAAGAACCUUACCUGGUCUUGACAUAGUGAGAAUCUUUCAGAGAUGAGAGAGUGCCUUCGGGAAUUCACAUACAGGUGCUGCAUGGCU
rnacentral:rRNA from 1 species